AAGCAGGCCGACGUUUACCAAAAUUUUGUGGCAGAGAACAUUGAUAUCCAAUUCAUUUGCCACGUCUCUGAUCAACUCCAUGAACAAAUCACUUUCAUCCAACCUGUUGAGCUCUUCUCUUCGUCCAACCAACGAGUAAUUUACCUGCUGGGACUUUUACUGCGUUUGGCUGGUGAACUGGAAGCCAGCCAGCUUUGGAACAGAUCAGAUGUGACGCUGUUACGUUUGCUUCUGCUCAGGAGAUUCUCCUCCUGAUGUAUAUUUUUCAACGGUGAUUUCGCUUGAACCACGGCCAUACCUUGAAACCUUUGUCGAAGCUCGAGGCUCGCGUUUUCACGGAACCAGGCCUCUGCAGCGUCCGGAUGCGCUUCGAGUGAGCCCAUCAUCCUCGUCGUACUCGUGUAUGGUGUCCUGGCAAGUGAUCCUCUUGCUUCUACACAACUUCACUAUUUCACUGUCCUUCGUCUCAGUCUUGAUGCCGAUGCUUAAAGAUACAAAACUGAUGUUUGGUAAUCAUUAACAAAUGUGAAUAUACAUUUCUUCUCUGUUAAAUAAUAUGUUAUUAAGAUCUUUUUCAACGUCCCUGACACAAUAAAAUAGUAAAAUACAAAAUAAAAAAGUCAAAAAUGAGCAUUGAAGGCAAGUAAUUUAUUUGAUAAAUCUUAUAUUUGUAUAUUGAUUGUUCCUGACACAAUACAAUAGUAACAAAAUAAAAAAGUCAAAAAUGAG